AGAGUUUGAUCCUGGCUCAGAACGAACGCUGGCGGCAGGCCUAACACAUGCAAGUCGAGCGCACCCUUCGGGGCGAGCGGCGGACGGGUUAGUAACGCGUGGGAACGUGCCCUUCUCUAUGGAAUAGCCUUUGGAAACGAAGAGUAAUACCAUAUACGCCCUUCGGGGGAAAGAUUUAUCGGUAAAGGAUCGGCCCGCGUUAGAUUAGAUAGUUGGUGGGGUAAUGGCCUACCAAGUCUACGAUCUAUAGCUGGUUUGAGAGGAUGAUCAGCAACACUGGGACUGAGACACGGCCCAGACUCCUACGGGAGGCAGCAGUGGGGAAUCUUAGACAAUGGGCGAAAGCCUGAUCUAGCCAUGCCGCGUGAGUGAGGAAGGCCCUAGGGUCGUAAAACUCUUUCGCCAGAGAUGAUAAUGACAGUAUCUGGUAAAGAAACCCCGCUAACU
rnacentral:rRNA from 1 species